UUGUUCCCCUUUGGCCUGUGAAGAGUGGAACAGGAGUUACACAAAUAGAGAUGAUUGCCUCUCCAUCCUGACAAAGUAUGAUAAAGACCACCGAAGUGUUGUACGCAAGAAAGCACAGGAUGGCUGGGAUGAGUGAACUAUGUAUCCCAGGUUUUACUUAGGCCUCAGCAUCCAGUGGUAACCCUGUCAAUUCUUUGCUCUCUCUGAUCAUUUGCAAGUAUUGAGAGGAAGACACUAUUUUGGGGUUAAUUAGAAUCAUACAGUAUUUAUCUUUUGUGACUGGUUUAUUUCAUUGGUUUAAUAUCCUCAAGCUUCAUCCACGUAGCAGUAUAUGCCAAAAUUUCCUUCCUUUUUAGAGCAGAAUAUUUCAUUGAAUGCAUGUGUCAUAUUUGGCUUAUCUAUUCAUCUGUUGAUGGACAAUUCCAUUGCUUUCAUGUUUUAGGUUUUGUGAAUAAUGCUGUUACUAACAUUGGUUUACAAAUACAUUGCUGAGACCCUACUUUCAGUUCUUUUGGUUAUAUACUUAGAACUGGAAUUGCUGAAUCAUAUGGUAAUUCUAUUUUUUAAUUUUUUGAAGAACUUCCACACUGUUGCUCUAACUUCUAUUAUUUAUUUGCUUCUGCUAGCUUUAGGUUUAGUUUAUUCUUUUUAUGGUAUCUUAAAGUAUGAAGCUAAGUUACUAACUUGGAAUCAUCCUUUUUUAAAUUGAUACAUAAUAUUUUACAUGUUUAUGGGGUAUAUGUGGGUACAUUUCUUACACGCAUAGAAUGUGUAAUGAUCAAGUCAGGGUAUUGGGAGCGUCCAUUGCCUUGAGUAUUUAUCAUUUUUGUGUGUUGGGAACAUUUCGAGCCCUCUCUUCUAGCUACUUUAAAAUAUAUAAUGCACUGUUGCUAACUAUAGUCACCCCGCUCUGCUAUCAAACAUUAGAGCUUAUUUAUUUUAACUGUAUGUUUAUACUCAUUAAAUAAUUUCUCUUCAUCCUUCCUCCCACCCACACUCUUCCCAUCCUCUGGUAUCUGGCAUUUUAUUAAUCACUUUCAUGAUUUUUUUUUUUUUUUUGAGAUAGAGUCUCUCUCUGUUGCCCAGGCUGGAGUGCCAUGGCAAGAUCUCGGCUCACUGCAAACUCUGCCUCCUGGGUUCAAGCAAGUCUCCUGCCUCAGCCUCCCAAGUAGCGAGAGUUACAGGCAUGCGCCACCAGGCCUGGGUAAUUUUGUAUUUUUAGUAGAGAUGGGGUUUCACUAUGUUGGUCAGGCUGGUCUCGAACUCCUGACCUCAAGUGAUCCACCCACCUCAGCCUCCCAAAGUGCUGGGAUUACAGGCGUGAGCCACUGCACCCGGUCGAGUUCUACUUUUUUAGCUCCCACAUAUGAGAAUAUGUGGUAUUUGUCUUUCCUGUCCCUGGAUUGUUUCAUUUAACAUAAUGACCUCAAGUUUCAUCUAUAUUGCUGAAAAUAACAUAAUUGCAUUCUUUUGUAUGGCUAAAUAGUAUUCCAUUGCGUGUGUGUAUAUAUAUAAAUCUAUAUAUAUAUAUUUAUAUAUACAUAUAUAACAACAUUUAUGUUGUUCCUCUACAUGGGUCAUAUUUCCCAAUUUCAUUUUAUGCCUUUUUUUUCUUGUUGUUGUUAAAAAUUGGGCAUUUGAAAAAAGUGGACACUUCUCCCCAUCUUUGCAAACUGAUGUGGAAGACUGUUACUACUUAGUGGGCCCACCUAUCCUUGACAUUAGCCUGGGUUGAAGUCUUAAUGUCUUUUCAGAUCCUUUCUGGGUAUGCAUUCUGUCUGGGCCUCUGUGUGUGUGUGUCUGUCCCUGUGUGUUUCCAGGCUUGUUUUAAGUGUCUUAAUUUCCCAAAAUAUCUCACUCUAGCUUUUUCUAGGGGGUUCUAAAUGUUCUAUUGCAUUCCUUGGCCUGUAAUCUCUUCACUCUAGAUGUUCAAUGGUCUGAAGUGCCUCUGUGGUUUUCAUAUACUACAGUAAGUACCACGGCCUUCUAUGAACUGGAGCUUCCUAAUCCACCCUCUUGCUGACAUCACACUAAAUAUUCACUUUUGUAACUACUUUUAUAUUUCAAAAUUUGCAUCCCUUUUCAAAAAAUAGGUUAUACACCAAAGUGUGUGAGCGUUAGGCCCCUGAAUCUGAAUCUACAUCUGGAAGUAAGAAGAAAGAAAUUUUAACUGUGAAACAAGUUUGAAUUUUCGUUAUUUACAUGAAUUGCAAAAACAAGUCAUUUAUAUCUAAAGGUGAUAAAAGAUUUUAUUUUUAUUUUUUGUUUUAUGAAAUCAACCCUCCUAUCCAAAGUAACAGAAAUAAUCUAUUCAGAGUCAUGGAAAAAACAGAGUGGGCUGUUGGAAUUGGAAAGAAACAAACAAAAAGCAGAUCAGCAAGUUUUCAUAUUGCACUAUUUUCAAUGGCUGGAGCAUCAACAUUUUACAACAAGAAAAAAAUUAAAAUUCUUCAACAUUUGGAAAAGAAGUGUUUGUAAAACUUUUCACAUCCAUUCACCAUCCGGAAAAGCAAGGUUUUACAGUGAGGCCUGAUGAUGUCUAGAGUCACCAUGCAUCUUGGAAAAUGACCUCCUAUUUAUUUCUUCUACAGGACACCAUGGUGUUCACCUUUCUACAACUUUACACUUGCUGAGGACAUAUUGUGGAAAAUUAAGAGAAAUAUAUAUGGAUGGCCAAGGCUGUAGAUGGAUGUCCAAGCCUUUUUACUGGGGAAUGUUUUCAGAACAAAAUGAGUUACAGGUUCAAGAGUGAAACCCAACAAAUCUUGGCUCUUUUUUUCUCUACUAAAUUCCAAAUCAAAAGUAUUUAUGGAGUGCUUUUAAUGUGCCACGCACUGGGCUAGAGAUUCAUAAUUUUGAUGGGAAUCUGUGUAUUCAAACUCUUUUAACGUGGAAACCUUGCUUGUGCAAGGUCCUCCCAGAUCUUAUCCUACUUUAUCAAAGCUUGGCUAAAUGCAACAUGUCUUCUCCCCAGUGCCCUGGGUCUCUGUACACGCAGUAAAGUGGUCCUUAGACAUAUGCUGAAAUAGGGCUUAAUUUUCCCCAUAUACGAAUGAGAUAAAUUCUACUACAUGUAGCCAGACUUCGAUAGGGAGAACACCCAAAGUCACUUAAAAUAAAACUACACUUUCAUUUUUGCAAGCCAAAUAAUCCUGGAGGAAAUUGUGCUAAUUUUUUUUUCAAAUUUUCAGUUUACACAUUGGAGUUUUGACUUCAAUAUGUAAAAAGUGCAUGAAAAUGAAUGUAGUGCAUCUUUCCUCAUAUGCUCUGCAGUGAUGCGAACUGACUGCAUGGCUAGCUGGUCACCUGAUAAAGGGCACACAGAGAUUCUUGUAGUUCAUUAGGGAUUACUCCGAGGUUGAACACAGGUUUUUCUUUUUCUCAGAUAUAUAGGUAAGACUUGAACUUCAAUUUCCUGCAUAGUGAAUAUGGUUUCUAUUGUCAUGAUUGAGCUUUUUUCAUUUUAAACACUGAGAGCUUCUUUUGAGUUUGUGGGACCCACGCUUUUGGGCAAAGACUGCUUUCUCAAGGCACAUAUGUUCAGAUGUUCAGGUCAUGAUGCAGAGGUAUCAGCUGGGAGGUGCCCCAGGUAAGUUUGCUACUAAACUUCACCCACCCUCAUCUGAGAGGCCACGUCUCUUCCCCUGAGUCUGGGGAUCAUGACACUUUAUAUGUCAGCUACUUUCUUUUUUCGUUUUAUUUUAUUUUAUUUUUGAGAUGGAGUCUCACUCUGUCUCUCAGGCUGGAGUGCAGUGGCACAAUUUUGGCUCACUGCAACCUCUGCCUCCCAGGUUCAAGUGAUUCUUCUAACUCAGCCUCCCAAGUAGCUGGGAUUAUAGGUGCACGCCACCACACCCAGCAAAUUUUUGUAUUUUUUUUUUUUUAGUAGAGACAAGGUUCUGCCAUGUUGGCCAGGCUGGUCUCGAACUCCUGCCCUCAGGUGAUCCGCUCGCCUCGGCCUCCCAAAGUGCUGGGAUUACAGGUGUGAGCCACUGCACCCGGCCACAUCAGCUACUAUUUAAUGAACAUCUUUCCCUGGACAAGAACAAAACUCAAAGAAAUCCAACAGAUUGCAACUUAGUCCUGGGGAGAGAAAAGUCCACAUGUUAAGCAGAAAGCUGAACCACAUAGAAUUCAACCUUUGGUGCCGCUAGUGUUGACAAGGAAGGAUAGAUUCUCUGAGCUAGAGUAAUAAAGAAAGAGAAAUGAGAAACUAGUAUAUCUCCAAAGGUUCUCAAAGUAUUAUUCCUGGACCAGUAGCAUCAACAUUCCCUGAAAAUAUGUUGGAAUUAAAGAUCUCAGCCUCCACCCAGACUUACUGAAUCAGAAAUUCUGGAGCAGGGUCCACUAAUCCUUGUUUUAGUCUUCUGGGUGAUUCUGAUACACACUCAAGUUUGAGACCCUCUGUCUAGCUACACCAUGCUCUUUUUACUUCAACUCAUUAUCCCCACAACAUGAUGCCAUAAUAUAGGAGAUUACAUAGUGUCAGGCUUUGCUUAACUUAGGCUAAGUCUUUAGAUAGAUACAAAGAGGUCAUUCAAUUAGUGGUACCUAUUGGAUAGGGCUCUUAUACCAUCCAUUUUGUUCCGGCAGUUCUUAGCUCAGUUCCUGGGACACAAUAAAUGAUUAACAAAUAGAUAACUAGUUAUUGAAUGAGUGUGGAUUGAUGAAGUUUGAGUAUACACACACACACACACACACAGACACACACAAUGUGAGCCAUACAAGAGAAUGAACGGGAAAGCAAAUUUCUUCUUGAAUACUCAUAAAAUCAGCUUUUAAUACCAAAUAUUAUUUCUUUAGGCCAUAUCCCACUGGAGCCUGAAUUGCUACAAUAGCAUUCUGGAGAUUUUCCUCCUUUCUAGUAUUGGCCUAUCCUAAUGUAUUACAUAACUAGCUUUCUGGAAAAUAUUCCUCAAGGAUCACUUGCUUGCAUAACUUACUUUAGAAAUUCUUCAGUGUUUGAGUGUGUAGUUCUUUCUGUGCUGUGUGCCCAUUGUAUCUUGUGAAUUCCUGUCUACUAAGGUAAAUAUCUGUCCACAUGUCUCAUUCCUUCACUAAACUAAGAAAUCACUGUAAAGAAAAAUGUAUUAGUCUGUUCUCACACUGGUGAUAGAGACAUACCCAUGACCAGGCAAUUUACAAAAGAAAGAGGUUUACUGGACUUACAGUUCCACAUGGCUGGAGAGACCUCACAAUCAUGGCAGAAGGUGAAAGUCACGUCUCACAUGGCAGCAGACAAGAGAAGAGAGCUUGUGCAGGGAAACUCCCCUUUUUAAAACGAUGAGAUCUCAUGAGACUUAUUCACUAUCAUGAGAACAGCAUGGGAAAGACCUGUACCCAUGAUUCAAUUACCUUUUACUGGGUCCCUCCCACAACAGGUGGGAAUUUAAGAUGAGAUUUGAGUGGGGACACAGCCAAACCAUAUCAAAAAAUAAUUUAUUAAUUACCUUGUAUGAUUCUUUUUCCUAUUCCUGGGAUUUAGCACUGUUCCUAAAAUGACUUAUAAAAAUAUUUCAUGUGUAUUUAUGUAUAAGUACCACACACUAACAGAUUGCCCCACUGGAGCACCCAAUUUGUGUUUAUUUAAUCCGUGAAAACGAUUAGUUCCUGGCCAUGAAGUUUAUGCUCCUCCCAUAAUUUUAUGCCAGUUUUUCAGCCUUGUGAAUUUCCUCUUUUAUCCAUCACCUCAAUUAUUGUUUUUACAGGUGGAGUCUCACUAUGAUGCCCAGGCUGUACUUGAACUUCUAGGCUCAAGUGACCUUCCCACUUGAGCCUCUGGUAGCUGAGACUACUGGGGUGUGCCACCUUGCCUGGCUUCUCCUCUCACCUUUAGCUCAACAAGUCCUCUUGGAGUCCUCCUCUUACUCAAGCAGUGCUCAAGCCACCACUGGGUCAUACUUUACAUACCUUAGGGUGGCACUGUAUUUGAGGGUUCACAUUUAAAUGUGCCAAAUGCAUGCAAAGCCUGGUUUACAUUUAGGAGCUUUAUAUUUUUUUUGGCUUAAGGUCUGGUCUAUCUGGUCUAUAUGAAAAAUAGACUUCUUGAGCAGCCCCACCCUUUCUCACUUACAAACUUGUUCAUAAUUGGGCUUUAAAUAAAUAAAUAUUUACUUACUUAUUUACUUAAUGAGGUUGACAGCUUGGUGAGAUGUUUGACAAUGAUAAUUUCAAUAAUUUCUGUCAUUUUUAGUUCCAAGAGGAACCAUCACCCAGUUGAAACUGUGAACCUCUCUCACAAAGUCUAAGUAGCCCUUGAUUCAAGCUAUGGGCACCAGUCUCCACAUAAUCUACUCAGAAGCACUGUAGUGUGGAAAUUGGCAAUGUCUGCCUUCUCCAAAUCAUUCAAUAGAGUUUCAGCUUUUCUCAGGCAUUCUGCAUAUUUAUAAAAGUUAGCUCGAUGCAGUAUUCCAAUAAAACCACCAAUUAUAUGCCUUUCAAAGGAUGUCAUCUUCUGAAAGCGUUCCACAUGGCUAUAAUCUUAUUACCUCUGGUUGAAGUAGUCACAGACCAAACUAAACGGUGAGUAGAGAUUGGUUAUAGGGAUUAUUUUUCCCAUCAGAGUCAGUGUAAGUGACUGCCCUCUCCCUUGUGGUAUGUUUCAGUCCUGACUUGACUAGUGAAGCCACUCCUACAGAUUUCAAACUCUUUGCCAGGGUAGGAAAACACAGGUUGGCUUCACUUCAUCCUCAGCCUCCUAACUUCCUUUUAAGUAACCAUGAGAUAUAUUUAGGAACUGCUGGUUUCUGAGCUAAUACCCAUGAGGCACCAAGGCAAAAAAAAAAAAAAAAGGCAAGUUAAACACACUAAAACUGCUGGCCAUCUCUUAACCAUUCAUUGCACAUGUAAAUUUCACUUGCAUUUUUUCUUUUGCAUUUGCUGGUACUAUUUUCACUUUUAUAUCCUAAAUUCGUGUGGUAAGAGGUCCUUUUAAAGCAUAAGGCAAAGUAGCAUAGGGUGGAAAGUUACAGAUUUUAGAGAAAGGUAGACAUGGCUUUGCAAACUAGCUCUAUUACUUAUUACAUCAAGAAUCCCAGAGAAGUUUCUUCUCUAAUCUUCCUAAAUGUUCUUAUGUGUAUAUUAAGGGUAAUGAUUCCUAUCUUACAGUAUUAAUGCGAAUUCACUGAAGAUUCAUUCAUUCCCCAAAUGUUUAUGUGCCCUUACAGGAACUGGACCAAGGGAAGAGGACACAGAAGGUAAAAGGAAGCCAGACCAGCAUGUUCUCCCACUCUAGUGCUCCUACCAAGAGGCUUUGAUAAGCAAUCACAAUUGUCCCCAGUGACAUGAAAGAAAAAGUGAAGCACCCUGUAGGGAUGCAUAGCAUGACAUCUACGUAGACUUGGGUCAUGGAAGGAAACUGUCACCACAUACAAGUUCAAGGGAAAUGUUCAGCCUCCAGGCCGCUGAAUGAAGCUCUGCCCAGGCCUUAGGAAAAGGUGAAACCCCAACUAGCAGGGGCCCCAGUUCACCAUAUCCAGGAAGGUGUCCUUGAACCAGAAAUACCCACGUUGUACUCCGACAUGAACAAGAAAUAGAUUUCUAUUAUAUUAAGCAACAGAAAUUUUCAGAUAUAUCAGUUCUCGCAGCAGGAAGGAUGUAUUGAUAAUGGCAACAUGGAUGGAGCUCAAAACAUCACAUUUAAUGAAAAAAGAGACUUACAUAAAAAAAUUAUAGACUAUAUUAUUACAUUCAAAUGAAGUUCAAGAACAAGCAAAAGUUGUGGAAAAAUAUCAGAAAACUUGCUUCUGCUGGAGGGGUAGGAUGGGAUUUGACUGGGAAGAGGCCUAGGGGAACAUGCUGGAAUGAUAUUAAUGUUCUAUUUCUUGAUGGAGGUUUGGGUUCCACAGGUGUAUGUAUUUGCUAAAAGUUAGCAAAUGUAGAGUUAAGGUUUGUGUUCUUCCUUGUGCAAUACAUUUUACACCAAAGGAAAGGCUGUAAACAAAUAUUGAACUGUAGUUAAUCAUAUGUAUGGAGAAAAACUUAAGGAAAAGACUUAUGAAUGCCUCAAGUUUAUUUAAAAAAGCAUUAAAAAUAAGAUUAAACAGGUAUUUAUGGAUAAACUACUGAAACUGAGAGAUAUUAACAGUAAAUAGUCAAAAUGUUCACUGUAAGAAUGAAAUUGAAAGGGAUUUGAACCCAGGUCUGUUUCACUGUAAAUCCUUGCUCCUGUGCUCUCUCAUGUUUAUUGGAAUUCAUGGGUAGAAAAUUUAAAUGCUCUGAAUCACUAUGAGAAGAAAGAUUCAGGAAAAAAAAAUGAAAGGCUAGAUUUCCAAAGAUAAGCCAGGUAAAUAUCAUGGAGAGUUGCAACAAUGUACUGCUAAUUAACUCUAAUACUUAGAGCUAAUGUCGAGUUUUCUGAGGGUUGUGACAUUCAUACAUGACUAAUUAACCUACACAGCAAAUCCAUUUCACUAGCUGCCAUGACACAGCCAAUCAAGACUAGCUCACUGUUUGCUCAUUUGGAAAAUGAUGAGGAUUCCCAUUUAGACUUAAUUACACUACAAAGAUUGACAAUUAUCUUCUCUAUAGAAGCAUCAGAUGUUUCGAUAUUAUACUGAACAUGUGCCUAUAAUUAUGUCCAUAAUUUGUCUAGCAGAAAAUGUAACCCAGUCAUUACUGAGAUCUUAUGCCUGUAAUUAGAUAUCAAAAAAAAAAUACCAAAUGGGAAAAGUGGGUUGUUGGGAUGUUAGGACCAUUACAAUGUGAGAAUCUGUAUGAAGCUAUUAGUGGGAACUCAGUAGCAACCAACAUCUCUUGGAUUGCUGCCCUCUAUUAAAAAUAAUCAGGAAGUGUGAGAGAGGGGAAAAUGAUGGCAGAGUAAAACCAUAGUACAAUCGCUUUUCCAAUACUUGACUGCAGUCAUUAAAAAUCCCAUAGGCACCUCAAAUUCAACACAUUUGAAACCGACUCAUUAGCCACCUUUGCCCCACUAUAGCUACUCCUUUUCCUGUGUUUGCUUUCUUAGACGAUUGCAAAGCAUUGUAGAGUCAUCUGCAACAAUUGUUCUCUCACUCCUUUCUCCUAAUCAAACCUCCGUGAUUCUGAUUACUAAUUUUUUCUAAGUGUGUUGCUCCUCUCUAUGCUGUGACUCUUCCAUUGUCUGCCUUCAUCAUCCUUGUAUGGUCAAUUUCAAGAGCACGUAUAAGAACGGUGCUGCAUCUGAAUGUUCACUCAUAAGUGGGAGUUGAACAAUGAGAACACAUGGACACAGGGAGGGGAACAUCACACGCUGGGGCCAAGCGGAGGGAGAGCAUUAGGACAAAUACCUAAUGCAUGUGGGGCUUAAAACCUAGAUGAUGGGUUGAUGGGUACAGCAAACCACUAUGGCACAUGUAUACCUAUCUAACAAGCCUGCAUGUUCUGCACGUGUAUUCCAGAACUUAAAGUAUAAUAAUAAUAAAAGAAGAAUGGUGCCGCUUUCCUCAAAUGUCUCCACCGUGUCACUUAUCUUCUGAAUUUCUCCCAGUAUGAUCAUCUCUAAUCACGAAUCUCAUUAUGCCACUCUGCCAUUCAGAAGAGUUGAGUGUGUCCACCUCUUUCCUAACAGCAUUUGGCAGAACACAGAAAGUAUGUUUUGUUUUUCAUUGAAUUUUGUGCCAGCUUCACGCUGGCCUGCCCCAGUCUGUAAUUUAGGCUAGCUCCAUUAUAUGGUUUACUAAUUAUGUAAUGUGACAUGCUCAUUAUUUCAGUUAUCUCUUGCAGGACAACUGGCUACCCCAAAAUUUAAUAGCUAAAAGCAAUCAUUUUUAUUUUGCUAAUGAUUUUUUGGGGUAAGGAAUGUAGAAACGGCUCCAAAGGGUGGUCGUUUCUGAUCAAUAUUGCAUCAGCUGGGGUGGAAGAAUCUUCUUCAAAAUAGCUUCUUUACUCACAUCUGGUGCCUUAGGGCUUCUUGACCUCUCUCUCUCUUCAUGUGGCUUCUCAUCCUCCAGGCUUUCUUCACUUGGCUUACCUUCUUGCAGCAAGGGUAUCUAAAAGAAGUCUCACUUUUUACACGGAAGCUAGAUUCCAAGAGGCAGGCAGUAGAAACUGCGCAGCUAGCUAAAGGCUAUAACAGAAAAAGGCAUGGCAACACUUCUACCAUAGUCUAUUAGUGAAGGCAGUUCCCAAGACCCUCAGAUUUAAGAGCACAGAGAAAUAGAUCCCAAUUCUAGAUGGGAAAAUGUCCAGGUCACGUUGAAGAAGAGCACAUAGGGCAAGAGACACUGUUGCACCUGUAUUUGCAAAAGUAAAUCUAUAUGCAUGCUAUUUCAUUCUUCUAAAAUACUGAGUGGCUGUAGCUCUCAACGCUAAUCGCUCUGUCUAUCCUACUCAAAUGCACUUCGGAGCAAUUGCUCAACUUUGCACAUUCUCUACGCAACCUCUCUCCAAAAUGCCCCUACAAUACUUAGUGUAAUCUCUUUUAUGUUAGAGUGGAACACCAUUGUCUAUUUACUGACAUAUUUAUCUCUCCCGCCAGAAUAUAAGGAUAAGCUCAUGUCUUAUUUACUUUAGAAUACCUUUUGUGUAACACAGAUGCUGGCAUAUAGUAGAUAUUAAAUACAUGUUCUAUUGAUCACAAGACUAAUAAAAGGAAUAAAUAAAUUGUCCUAUUCAUACAUGUAUUAUCUAUGCCUGGGGUACUUCCUGGAACAAGUUUAGUACCUGGUGAUUAUCAGCUUCCAAGAUGGCCCCCAAUAGUCUCCACCUCCUGAAUUCACACUCUUUGUAGUUCCUUCCUGCAUUGUGCCAGAGUUGGUCAAUGUGACCAACAGGAUAUAGUAGAAGGGAUGGUAUUAUGCUAUAAAAGACGUUCAAUUUUUAUCUCUUUCUCUCUCAUAAUUCACCCUGAGAGAAACCAGCUGCCUUGUUGCAAGCAGUCCUACGGAGAGGCCCACAUAGUGAGAAACUGAGGCCUUCUGCCAACAGCCAGAGGAGGGAGCUUGCAAGCAGACCCUCCAGCCCCAGCUAAGCUUCAGGUGACUGUCCAGGCAACGGCUGGAGUAAAACCUCACAAGACGUCCAGAGCUAGAGCCACCCAGCUCAGCUGCUCCCAGAUUUCUGACUCUCAGAAACCAUGUGAGAUAAUAAAUGCUUGCUGUUUUAAGCUGCUAAAUUUUGAAGUAGUUUUUUACACAGCAAGAGAUAAUUAUUUUAUUUACUAAUACAUAUUCGUGAAUGCCAUCCAACAUAGAAAGAAUGAAGCAGUUCCAUUCUUCUUCUUGGAUUUUUAGCUAAAGUAUUUUGUUGUUACUACGACAGACACCUGGGUGGUAAUUGCUAUUUCAAGCUGGACACCUGGGCUUUUUCUCCACUACAAAGAACCUCUCAGUUACUCCCAGAGAAAGUAAUGAUUUCACUUCUUGGAGUAAGUGUUUGUGCUAAUUAGCAGCAUGACGAAAUACAGCAUGUCAAGCAAAAAACUAUUUGUGCUUACCUUCCAACACAUUCUCUUACAGAGAGGACAUGAUGCCAGAGAAAUAAACAUUAAACUACUGUACACUAUCAGACUUUGCAAUGUAGCCUUACUUCACUAGCUUUGUAUUUCAAUCCCUAAUUACUAAACUGAUAAGAUUUCUGAUUAUUUUGGUUGAAAGAAAAAGCCCUCCUUUUGUCUCAACAAAAUUAGAACAUGAAAGAAAAAAAUAAAUACAUGAAAUUACCUAGAGAAUAUAUUAUUUAUAUCUGCUUCUAAGAAAUUCAGCAGGGGAUUUUUAAAAUGCUGGAUUAGUAAUUUUAUAAUCUUUUAUAUUCAAAUAUACUUCCAUGAAAUGUUAGC
rnacentral:lncRNA from 10 species